AUUGAACGCUGGCGGAAUGCUUUACACAUGCAAGUCGAACGGUAGAGGGGGCAACCCCUCGAGAGUGGCGAACGGGUGAGUAAUAUAUCGGAACGUGCCCAGUCGUGGGGGAUAACGUAGCGAAAGUUACGCUAAUACCGCAUACGAUCUAAGGAUGAAAGCGGGGGAUCGCAAGACCUCGCGCGAUUGGAGCGGCCGAUAUCAGAUUAGGUAGUUGGUGGGGUAAAGGCCCACCAAGCCAACGAUCUGUAGCUGGUCUGAGAGGACGACCAGCCACACUGGAACUGAGACACGGUCCAGACUCCUACGGGAGGCAGCAGUGGGGAAUUUUGGACAAUGGGCGAGAGCCUGAUCCAGCCAUUCCGCGUGCAGGAUGAAGGCCCUCGGGUUGUAAACUGCUUUUGUACAGAACGAAAAGGUUUCUACUAAUACUAGGAGCUCAUGACAGUACUGUAAGAAUAAGCACCGGCUAACUACGUGCCAGCCGCCGCAGUAA
rnacentral:rRNA from 1 species